UACAGAGGUCUCAAGCGUUGUUCGGAUUCAUUGGGCGUAAAGGGUGCGUAGGCGGCGGGGCAAGUCGGAUGUGAAAUCUCAGGGCUCAACCCUGAAACUGCAUUCGAUACUGCCUUGCUCGAGGACUGGAGAGGAGAUUGGAAUUCACGGUGUAGCAGUGAAAUGCGUAGAUAUCGUGAGGAAGACCAGUGGCGAAGGCGGAUCUCUGGACAGUUCCUGACGCUGAGGCACGAAGGCCAGGGGAGCAAACGGG
rnacentral:rRNA from 1 species